rnacentral:lncRNA from 1 species
CCCUUUCACUGUCUCUGUUGAAACGUGCCCUUCACUGUUCAUUAAAGACCAAACCCCUGCAUGCGGAAUAUAUAUUUAUAGAGAGAGAGAGAGAGAGAGAGAGAGAGAGAGAGAGAGAGAGAGAGAGAGAGAGAGAGAGAGAGAGAGAGAGAGAGAGAGAGAGAGAGAGAGAGAGAGAAAGAGAUUUUAGGGAUUCAUACACUAUAUAUAUACACUAAACAUAGGCAUGUAGAAACACACUUUCUUGAUGUCUACAAUGUGUGUGAGUGUGUGUCAAUACAUAUGCAACAAUAUACUAUAAGGGUUUCUUAGUAUAUAUAGUUUCUAUGCAACAAUUCUAAUACGUAUAGCUCGUUGCACCAUGGGUGGUUGUACGGAAAGAUCGGUGCUACUACUGCAGCUUCAAUAUUGCGGCCAAGAUUAUAAGUAUUGUUCGUAUUGCAAUACAUCAAGAAACCGAGCUUCGUUCAGAGUCAGUUUUCUCGAUAUGGGGUGAUUCAUUUUCAGACAUAAAAACAAAAUUAAUCAUCAAUUAUUUUGGAUGAUCAUUUAAUUAAUGCGAGGGGGAAUCAAGCACUCCUGGUCCGAUCACUAGUACUGCGUACUACUUAAUUAGUUUUUUAAUUUCUGUCUUAAUAUAUAUAUUGGAUUUUUUUUUUGUUUAAUCUGUAGUUGUAGUAGUUGUACUGUGUUAUUCAUGUAGAUUAGCUUUUUGGUUGUUAAUGUGUGUGUUAGAAAUUUGAGGAGAGAUUUUAGUUUGUUUUGCAGUAUCUUAAUUAGUAUUUGAAAUUUAACAUUUUUACUUUUUUCCCCCUUUAAUUCUCAAUUUAAAUAUUUCAAACUCUUUUA